AUGGCUCUGAGGUUUAGUUUAAUUCUUGCACAAAAGGCGGGAUGCAAUCGUCUUAUUAUUAACUCUGAUAAUAUGGAAGUCAUUGACAUAAUGAGAAAUGGAGGACAAUCAACGGGAGUUGCGGCGGCAGUCUUCGAGGAUUGCUACUUCAUGGCAUGUGAUUUUCCGUUGACUAGAUUUGAACAUUAUAAUAGGGUAGCUACUAAGGUUGCUCAUGAACUUGCAAGGCUAGCGAAAGUUUCUGUAACUAGAGAUUGAUUUGAGGAGCCUAUGGAGAAUAUUGUACCUCUUCUUAUAGACGAUGUAAUCAUUAUUUCCAAUUAA
rnacentral:rRNA from 1 species